rfam:Schistosoma mansoni strain Puerto Rico chromosome 7, complete genome
AUCCAGCUGACGAGUCCCAAAUAAGAUGAAGCGUGCGUUCUGGAU